rnacentral:misc_RNA from 1 species
GUAAAUUCUAAUUUGACAGUAACUUUUCCAAGGAUCAAUAACAACCUAUAACUUCUAGUUAAUUCUACAAAUUACUCUGAUCUGCGAGCAGCAACUCAUAUGAAGGGGGCUACAUGAUGUGCAGGUGAAUCAUGGACUAAUGGUGAUAAAGAUGACUUUGGUUUUAGAUGUUCUGGUUUCUGUGGGUAGUCAUGAAUUGGAUGCAAUGUAUUGAAAAUGUGGGUCGAUUGAUUUGAUGGUCCCUCCCAAGAUGGUCAGGCCAGGGAUGGUUGAUUAAAACGGUGCGUUUAAAAUUGUUAAAAAGUAUUAAAAUUGUUAAAAGUGA